rnacentral:rRNA from 1 species
CCUACGGGAGGCAGCAGUGGGGAAUAUUGCACAAUGGGGGAAACCCUGAUGCAGCGACGCCGCGUGAGUGAAGAAGUAAUUCGUUAUGUAAAGCUCUAUCAGCAGGGAAGAAAAUGACGGUACCUGAGUAAGAAGCACCGGCUACCUACGUGCCAGCAGCCGCGGUAAUACGUAGGGAGCAAGCGUUAUCCGGAUUUACUGGGUGUAAAGGGGGCGUAGACGGCAGUGCAAGUCUGGCGUGAAAGGCGGGGGCUCAACCAUCGGACUGCUGUGGAAACUGUACGGCUGGAGUGCAGGAGAGGUAAGUGGAAUUCGUAGUGUAGCGGUGAAAUGCGUAGAUAUUAGGAGGAACACCAGUGGCGAAGGCGGCUUACUGGACUGCAACUGACGUUGAGGCUCGAAAGUGUGGGGAGCGAACAGGAUUAGAUACCCGUGUAGUC